rnacentral:rRNA from 1 species
AUUGAACGCUGGCGGCAGGCCUAACACAUGCAAGUCGAGCGGAUGAGAGGAGCUUGCUUCUCGAUUCAGCGGCGGACGGGUGAGUAAUGCCUAGGAAUCUGCCUGGUAGUGGGGGACAACGUUUCGAAAGGAACGCUAAUACCGCAUACGUCCUACGGGAGAAAGCAGGGGACCUUCGGGCCUUGCGCUAUUAGAUGAGCCUAAGUCGGAUUAGCUAGUUGGUGAGGUAAUGGCUCACCAAGGCGACGAUCCGUAACUGGUCUGAGAGGAUGAUCAGUCACACUGGAACUGAGACACGGUCCAGACUCCUACGGGAGGCAGCAGUGGGGAAUAUUGGACAAUGGGCGAAAGCCUGAUCCAGCCAUGCCGCGUGUGUGAAGAAGGUCUUCGGAUUGUAAAGCACUUUAAGUUGGGAGGAAGGGUUGUAGAUUAAUACUCUGCAAUUUUGACGUUACCGACAGAAUAAGCACCGGCUAACUCUGUGCCAGCCGCCGCAGUAACAC